UACGUAGGGGGCAAGCGUUGUCCGGAUUUAUUGGGCGUAAAGAGCGUGUAGGCGGUCAGGUAGGUCCGUUGUGAAAACUCGAGGCUCAACCUCGAGACGCCGAUGGAAACCAUCUGGCUAGAGUCCGGAAGAGGAGAGUGGAAUUCCUGGUGUAGCGGUGAAAUGCGCAGAUAUCAGGAAGAACACCCGUGGCUAAGGCGGCUCCCUAGUACGGUACUGACGCUGAGACGCGAAAGCGUGGGGAGCGAACAGG
rnacentral:rRNA from 1 species